rnacentral:rRNA from 1 species
UUAAGCGACUAAGCGUACACGGUGGAUGCCCUGGCAGUCAGAGGCGAUGAAGGACGUGCUAAUCUGCGAUAAGCGUCGGUGAGGUGAUAUGAACCGUUAUAACCGGCGAUUUCCGAAUGGGGAAACCCAGUGUGUUUCGACACACUAUCAUUAACUGAAUCCAUAGGUUAAUGAGGCGAACCGGGGGAACUGAAACAUCUAAGUACCCCGAGGAAAAGAAAUCAACCGAGAUUCCCCCAGUAGCGGCGAGCGAACGGGGAGGAGCCCAGAGCCUGAAUCAGUGUGUGUGUUAGUGGAAGCGUCUGGAAAGGCGCGCGAUACAGGGUGACAGCCCCGUACACAAAAAUGCACAUACUGUGAGCUCGAUGAGUAGGGCGGGACACGUGGUAUCCUGUCUGAAUAUGGGGGGACCAUCCUCCAAGGCUAAAUACUCCUGACUGACCGAUAGUGAACCAGUACCGUGAGGGAAAGGCGAAAAGAACCCCGGCGAGGGGAGUGAAAAAGAACCUGAAACCGUGUACGUACAAGCAGUGGGAGCCUCUUAAUGGGGUGACUGCGUACCUUUUGUAUAAUGGGUCAGCGACUUAUAUUCUGUAGCAAGGUUAACCGAAUAGGGGAGCCGAAGGGAAACCGAGUCUUAACUGGGCGUUAAGUUGCAGGGUAUAGACCCGAAACCCGGUGAUCUAGCCAUGGGCAGGUUGAAGGUUGGGUAACACUAACUGGAGGACCGAACCGACUAAUGUUGAAAAAUUAGCGGAUGACUUGUGGCUGGGGGUGAAAGGCCAAUCAAACCGGGAGAUAGCUGGUUCUCCCCGAAAGCUAUUUAGGUAGCGCCUCGUGAAUUCAUCUCCGGGGGUAGAGCACUGUUUCGGCAAGGGGGUCAUCCCGACUUACCAACCCGAUGCAAACUGCGAAUACCGGAGAAUGUUAUCACGGGAGACACACGGCGGGUGCUAACGUCCGUCGUGAAGAGGGAAACAACCCAGACCGCCAGCUAAGGUCCCAAAGUCAUGGUUAAGUGGGAAACGAUGUGGGAAGGCCCAGACAGCCAGGAUGUUGGCUUAGAAGCAGCCAUCAUUUAAAGAAAGCGUAAUAGCUCACUGGUCGAGUCGGCCUGCGCGGAAGAUGUAACGGGGCUAAACCAUGCACCGAAGCUGCGGCAGCGACACUAUGUGUUGUUGGGUAGGGGAGCGUUCUGUAAGCCUGUGAAGGUGGCCUGUGAGGGUUGCUGGAGGUAUCAGAAGUGCGAAUGCUGACAUAAGUAACGAUAAAGCGGGUGAAAAGCCCGCUCGCCGGAAGACCAAGGGUUCCUGUCCAACGUUAAUCGGGGCAGGGUGAGUCGACCCCUAAGGCGAGGCCGAAAGGCGUAGUCGAUGGGAAACAGGUUAAUAUUCCUGUACUUGGUGUUACUGCGAAGGGGGGACGGAGAAGGCUAUGUUGGCCGGGCGACGGUUGUCCCGGUUUAAGCGUGUAGGCUGGUUUUCCAGGCAAAUCCGGAAAACCAAGGCUGAGGCGUGAUGACGAGGCACUACGGUGCUGAAGCGACAAAUGCCCUGCUUCCAGGAAAAGCCUCUAAGCAUCAGGUAACAUCAAAUCGUACCCCAAACCGACACAGGUGGUCAGGUAGAGAAUACCAAGGCGCUUGAGAGAACUCGGGUGAAGGAACUAGGCAAAAUGGUGCCGUAACUUCGGGAGAAGGCACGCUGAUAUGUAGGUGAAGCGACUUGCUCGUGGAGCUGAAAUCAGUCGAAGAUACCAGCUGGCUGCAACUGUUUAUUAAAAACACAGCACUGUGCAAACACGAAAGUGGACGUAUACGGUGUGACGCCUGCCCGGUGCCGGAAGGUUAAUUGAUGGGGUUAGCGGUAACGCGAAGCUCUUGAUCGAAGCCCCGGUAAACGGCGGCCGUAACUAUAACGGUCCUAAGGUAGCGAAAUUCCUUGUCGGGUAAGUUCCGACCUGCACGAAUGGCGUAAUGAUGGCCAGGCUGUCUCCACCCGAGACUCAGUGAAAUUGAACUCGCUGUGAAGAUGCAGUGUACCCGCGGCAAGACGGAAAGACCCCGUGAACCUUUACUAUAGCUUGACACUGAACAUUGAGCCUUGAUGUGUAGGAUAGGUGGGAGGCUUUGAAGUGUGGACGCCAGUCUGCAUGGAGCCGACCUUGAAAUACCACCCUUUAAUGUUUGAUGUUCUAACGUUGGCCCGUAAUCCGGGUUGCGGACAGUGUCUGGUGGGUAGUUUGACUGGGGCGGUCUCCUCCUAAAGAGUAACGGAGGAGCACGAAGGUUGGCUAAUCCUGGUCGGACAUCAGGAGGUUAGUGCAAUGGCAUAAGCCAGCUUGACUGCGAGCGUGACGGCGCGAGCAGGUGCGAAAGCAGGUCAUAGUGAUCCGGUGGUUCUGAAUGGAAGGGCCAUCGCUCAACGGAUAAAAGGUACUCCGGGGAUAACAGGCUGAUACCGCCCAAGAGUUCAUAUCGACGGCGGUGUUUGGCACCUCGAUGUCGGCUCAUCACAUCCUGGGGCUGAAGUAGGUCCCAAGGGUAUGGCUGUUCGCCAUUUAAAGUGGUACGCGAGCUGGGUUUAGAACGUCGUGAGACAGUUCGGUCCCUAUCUGCCGUGGGCGCUGGAGAACUGAGGGGGGCUGCUCCUAGUACGAGAGGACCGGAGUGGACGCAUCACUGGUGUUCGGGUUGUCAUGCCAAUGGCACUGCCCGGUAGCUAAAUGCGGAAGAGAUAAGUGCUGAAAGCAUCUAAGCACGAAACUUGCCCCGAGAUGAGUUCUCCCUGAGACUUAGAGUCUCCUGAAGGAACGUUGAAGACGACGACGUUGAUAGGCCGGGUGUGUAAGCGCAGCGAUGCGUUGAGCUAACCGGUACUAAUGAACCGUGAGGCUUAACCU